UACGUAGGGGGCAAGCGUUGUCCGGAUUUACUGGGCGUAAAGAGCGCGUAGGCGGAAGCUUAAGUGUGGCCUGAAAGCCCCCGGCUCAACCGGGGAAGGUGGCUGCAAACUGGGCUUCUUGAGGGGGAUAGGGGAAAGUGGAAUUCCGGGUGUAGCGGUGAAAUGCGUAGAGAUCCGGAGGAACACCAGUGGCGAAGGCGGCUUUCUGGGUCCGCCCUGACGCCUGAGGCGCGACAGCGUGGGGAGCAAACAGG
rnacentral:rRNA from 1 species